UACGUAGGGGUGCAAGCGUUGUCCGGAAUUAUUGGGCGUAAAGAGCUCGUAGGCGGUUUGUCGCGUCUGCUGUGGAAAAACCUCGGGGGCUUAACCCCCGGGCCUGCAGUGGGUACGGGCAGACUAGAGUGCGGUAGGGGAGACUGGAAUUCCUGGUGUAGCGGUGAAAUGCGCAGAUAUCAGGAGGAACACCGGUGGCGAAGGCGGGUCUCUGGGCCGUAACUGACGCUGAGGAGCGAAAGCGUGGGGAGCGAACAGG
rnacentral:rRNA from 1 species